CCAGCCACCGCGGUUACACGAUUAACCCUAGCUAAUAGAGAUCGGCGUAAAGGGUGUUUAAGAUCUAACAUAAUAAAGCUAAACUCCAUCUAAACUGUAAAACUCUAGCCAACGUAAAAUAAACUACGAAAGUGGCUUUAAAGCUUCUGAACACACAAUAGCCAAGACCCAAACUGGGAUUAGACACCCUACUAUGCUUGGCCCUAAACCUCAGUGGUUAGAUAACAAAACUACUCGCCAGAAUACUACAAGCAACAGCUUGAAACUCAAAGGACUUGACGGUGCUUUACAUCCCCCUAGAGGAGCCUGUUCUAUAAUCGAUAAACCCCGAUCCACCCCACCCUCUCUUGCUCAGCCUAUAUACCGCCAUCUUCAGCAAACCCUAAUGAAGGUCACAAAGUGAGCGCAAACGCCGCCGCCGCGAAUACGUUAGGUC
rnacentral:rRNA from 1 species